rnacentral:rRNA from 1 species
GGCCUACGGGUGGCUGCAGUCGGGAAUAUUGCACAAUGGACGAAAGUCUGAUGCAGCAACGCCGCGUGCGCGAUGAAGGCCUUCGGGUCGUAAAGCGCUUUUCGGGAGGAUGAGGAAGGACAGUACUCCCGGAAUAAGGUACGGCUAACUACGUGCCAGCAGCCGCGGUAAAACGUAGGUACCGAGCGUUAUCCGGAUUUACUGGGCGUAAAGCGUGUUCAGGCGGCCUAGCAAGUCGGGCAUGAAAUCUCUCGGCUCAACCGGGAGAGGCUGUCCGAUACUGCUGGGCUUGAGGACGGUAGAGGGUGGUGGAAUUCCGCGUGUAGUGGUGAAAUGCGUAGAUAUGCGGAGGAACACCAGUGGCGAAGGCGGCCACCUGGACCGUCCCUGACGCUCAAACACGAAAGCUAGGGUAGCGAACGGGAUUAGAUACCCUGGUAGUCCC